rnacentral:sRNA from 1 species
AGCCAUCUCUCCAGCCCAAGAUUAUGUGUUUGCAAGUGUGCAUGUGAGUGUAUGGAGUAUGCAAAUGCAUGUGUGUAGGAAUGUGUAGCUUCUGUGUAUGUUCAUGUUUGUGUUUUCUGAGUGUAUGCAUGUGUGUGAGAAUCUGUGUCUGAUAUGUGAAUAUGUAAAUGUACAUGUGAGUAUAUGUGCACAUAAUCUUGUGAAUUAUUACGUGUGCAUGUAAGUGGAUGCAAAGGCACUUGUAGGAGCUUUUAAUGUCUGUGCAUGCAUACAUGUUUGCAUGUAUGCACAUUUGGCUAAAUGCAUGUGUGUUAGGAGGUAUGUACCUGCAUGUAUAAAUAUGUAUGCAUGUAUUUGUGAGCAUGUACAUGUCUGCACCAUGUGUAUGCAUGCCUGUUUAUAUUUGUGUGUUUGCAUUGUCUCUCACAGUCUGGAGAGGCCUUUCUUGCCCUCUUUGCUCUACUCUUGGCAUGUGGCUGUACAUCCCUCUUGCAGGGAUGCCUAAGCCUCUUCACCUGACCAGACAGAAGCGUUCAUUCACAGACAAAGGCUUGGCUUCCAUCUCUCAGCUUCCCCAAGGCCGGGUCCCAGAGUGGAAUGAAGGCUUUGUCUCCUCCCUCAGUUCCCCCACAGCCCAGCUCUGACUGAGGUGGGUGCUUGGCGGGCAUCUGAGCCUCUCCUCAGGCCCAAUAAGGUAGUCCAGCAAUGUUGCCCAUUCUCAGCGUGGGAAGCCUGCAGAGGGAAGACACUUGAACCCACUUCUUCCUUCUGCAGCCUCCUUUGAGGCUCAGAAAGUGGCUUCUGGCUUCUAGAGCCUGGUCAAGGGGGAACCGGGAUUCCCCAUCAUGUACUGCUAAGCAGAGGAAAGUCACUGUGGUCAUCUCUACAUAAAGAAUGGCAUCUGGGGAGCCUCCUAGCCACUGCCCACCUCAUUUGGCAAUGGCUUCUGUUUGUGGCCUGUGGCCUUGGAAACAUGAAGGAAGUGGAGGAGGAAAAAGAGAAAUAUGAAUGCAUACAGAGCAGAGGCCAGUCUGGAAAGUUCCAAUCAUAAAGGUAGGCGUGUAUGGCUGGAUUACAGGUAUGCAGUGUAAUUAUUUAAUUUUUAAAAAUAUGCCAUUUUCUCUAGAUGGAGUGUUUUUUCCUCAUUCUAGGUGUUUACUUCCUUAUUUAAUUUUGUAAAGACUGGUCACUCCUCAUACGAGAGCCACUCUCUGAAAGGUGCCAAUGUGCAAACCUCCUGAGCGCUAAUGUGACAUGCAGGGGAUACUUCAGACCUGAUUUCAGGUGUCACGUUCGCAGAACGCGCAGGAACACUAAACAUGGCAUAAGAUGGCUUUCAGGCUGCAUGGAUAAGGAAAGACAUGGUUGUGUGAGGAUGGACUGAGAGACUCAGCCCCAGCACCAAGCAGCAGCAGGGUCUCAACAGGUCUUUUCCAUGUAGUCCUGGCUGUCUUGGGGACCUAGGACACUUGAGUGACCUCAUUCCUUCACCUCUUCCCUCGAAUGUCCUAUCCUGGCUGUCCGUAGGAGCUCCUGGAUACCCAUCCACCCUGCCUGCUCUGC